AGUGAACGCUGGCGGUAGGCCUAAUACAUGCAAGUCGAACGGCAGCACAGUAAGAGUUCGCUCUUACGGGUGGCGAGUGGCGGACGGGUGAGGCAUACAUCGGAAUCUACUUUUUCUUGGGGGAUAACGUAGGGAAACUUACGCUAACACCGCAUAUGACGUACGGGAGAAAGCAGUGGAUCUUCGGACCUUUGCCGAUUGUAUGAGCCGAAGUCGCAUUAGCUAGUUGGGUGGGUAAAGGCCCACCAAGGCGACGAUACGUAGCGGGUCUGAGAGGAUGAUCAGCCACACUGGAACUGAGACACGGUCCAGACUCCUACGGGAGGCAGCAGUGGGGAAUAUUCCGCAAUGGGCGCAAGCCUGAUCCAGCCAUACCGCGUGAGUGAAGAAGGUCUUCGGAUUGUAAAGCCCUGUUAUUAGGAAAGAAAAACAGCGGAUUAAUAUCCCGCUGUUCUGACGGUACCCAAAGAGUAAGCACCGGCUAACUUCGUG
rnacentral:rRNA from 1 species